rnacentral:lncRNA from 1 species
AGCAGUUCCUUUGCUACGGGCCGGGGGAGUCAGGAUCAGCAGCGCAGCGGCGGGAACCGCGGUCCAGCGGACCUGGAACCUCCCAGGUCUCCCACUGCUCAGCGAGAUCUGCUCACCUAUGAGUCAGAACUAAGAGCCCCGGAUGGUGAAGAGAGGAAACUGUAGCCAAGGAAUUGGGUAUGUUAGAAGAAUUCAGGUGAGGGAUUGUCUGAAGUGACAGGAGAUUAAUUAAUGAUUCUAGAAAAUUUCACUGAGAAUAAUAUUAUGUGUGGUAAUAUGGAUUUCUGGUUAUAGGCUGUACAGUAAGCAGUCAGAUAUUCUCAGUAUUUGGUUAGUUUUGAGGCUCUGAAAUGACUGUUGCCCAUUAAAUAAAGUGUCUUUGACCCAGACUGAAAGCAGCACCAGGCUAUGGUUGUGAACGGAGACAUUUGAACAUGUACCAAAUAUCAGUAGUGGAUUCCCUUGUAAGGUCUAUGAUACUCUAUUGUUGGCUUUUGACCUGGUUUCCAUACUCUUUUUCUUUUAUCUGUAGCUGGUCUCAGAAUGCACCAGAAAAUCUCCUGUGACGCACAGAAUAUCUAUGACACAACUAUUACACCAAUGAAUAGGCCUUGCCUUGCAGAUUUGGAUUGUAGCACACAGGAUCCAAAUCUGGGUAUGGUCUUUGAUAUCUCUACCCCCUGCCCCAGGUCUGCAUAGCAGUUUUUUGAAGGUAUGAGUGCUACAAACAGGGUGUCCUAGGCAUUUUUAGUCAGGAUGAGUUGUCUGGUCUGAGUUCUCUUUUAUUUUUCUCAAGAAGUUUCACUUGCUUUUUGACUAAGUUUUCUCUGACCUUGAAUUGUUUACUAAUUGACGCACUGUGUUGUGUUAGUCCUGGGUACAGUGGAAUAAUUACAGUUUCCUUUUUAGUACUGUUUGCUUUAGUGUCUCUUUGUCUUUAUUAUUCUGAGGUAUGUUCCUUUUGUCCUCACAUUCUUGAGAGCUUUUGUACUGUGCAAAUGCCAUAGUUUAGCACAGGGCUUUCAUGUAUCUAUUGACAUAGUCCCUUUUCUUCUCUCAUUGAGUCUACUCAUUUGGUGUCUGACAUUGAUUAGUUUGUAAGUAUUGAAGCAGUCUUGCAUUUUUUGGUGUGAACUUAGCUUUUCUUCUUCUUCUUCUUCUUCUUCUUCUUCUCUCUCUCUCUCUCUCUCUCUCUCUCUCUCUCUCUCUUAGCAGAUAUUUCAGUAGUCUUAGGAAAUACUCCUUGGAAAACUAGAUUAAUACAUUUGGUCAGGAAGUGACCAAAGAGUGUUUCUUAGCAAAUUCUUUGCAGGCAUAUAUACCAGCUCCCCUUGCAUCUUGCAUCUAGUCAGUAGUAUAGGCCAAUUUGUGCAUGUUCAGCUUUCCUUCUAUUUCAGUGGAAUUUAGAACAGUCUGUGUCUGUAAAUCAUGGCAACUGGUUUGAGAUUUUUCUCUUCAUAUGUUUGUUUGGGCUCACCUGCUUUGUGUGUCUAGAUAACACCAGCUUUGUAUGAUGACUUUCUAAUGUUCCUCUUCUUUGUGUUUAUGGCAAUAUUCUGCUUUUGUGUUUAGGAUAAGCUUUGUCUAAGGAAAGGAGAAUUCCGUGCUAAUCUGUCAGACACCAUUAGAGAAAACCCUUCCUGGUUCAGUCUGUGCGCUUGCUUGAUGGGGGUUCUAGUUUUAUGAUGUAGGAGGGUGAUUUAUUCACUUAUUUCUAAGAACUCUUCAAUUCUGAUUCACUUGUGUAAGACCUUCCUCAGCCCUGCAUAUAGUAACACUGAUGUCAUUGUCAUAUAUUGCAGUGUCCCCUUUUUUAGCUCUAGUUCUAAUACAGAGUCACUUUUAAUUUCUAGUAGGAGAACAUUGCUUUGUCAGUACCUAAUCUCUGCUGAGAGACAUGUCUGUAAUGUUGAACCAUUGAAUGAUUUUUGAGUCAGUUUCAUUAAUUUCUAUAUAAUCCUGGAAAUAUCUCUUUAAAUUCUAUUUGUAUUUUUACUUUUUCAAAAAAGAUUUAUUUAUCUUAUGUAUAUGACUACUUUCUCUGCAUGAAUGCCUACAUACAUGCCUGCCAGAAGAGGGCAUCAGAUCACAUUGUAUGUGGUUAUGGUGCUCCAUGUGAUUGCUGCUAAUUGACGUCAGGACCUCUGGAAGAGCAGAUAGUGCUUUGAACCACUGAACCAUCUCUUCAGCCUCAACUGCAUUUUAAAAGACAUUACAGAAUUUGAACUGGAGAGAAAACAAAAACUGUAAUGAUGGUGGCAAAUCCUAUAUUUGCUGCUCAGAAAAUUCGUGGUGAAGGAAGAUCUUCUGAAUUUAUGCAGUGCAGUAAUUCUGUGCAUUGUUUAUUGAAGGAUGGCAGUGCUUAACUGCUGAUAAUUCUUUGUAGCACUUUUAGAAAACUUUGAUCUUUGAAAUAAUGCCAGACCUCACCUAUACCACAAACCUAUCUCUAAUAUCUGAGAUCUCUUUUACCUCAGAAACCAUUUUGUGCUACAGUACAUAAUAAAUGGAUAAUUAUCAAUUAUAGAGUUUGUUAAUAUUCAGGAAUGGGAUUGUGGAAUGCUCACAGGAAGAAUCAAAAUGUUUAGUCUGUGCUCAGAGGACAUUGUACAUACAUGUGAUUUGGAGAAUUAUAUCAAUAUAUUUUUUGUAGCUAAGAAUGUUCUUUUAUAGAAUUCCUGAUACAUCCUUUGUUUUUACCUGCUUUGUAUAUAUAUAAACUCUCUGUACUGUCUAAAGCUUCCUGGAAAUGAGGGAAAUUGUGGUUAUCAAUAUAAUCCUACCAGAAUGUUUCUU